rnacentral:misc_RNA from 1 species
GAGAAGCCAAACCCAAAACCCAUCUCUGUCUGUGAAUUUGAGAGAGUAUGGGAGGAGAGAGGAAGAAGAUAUUGGUGGGUUUGGUAGUAGCUAUGUUUCUUGGAAUUGCUGUUUACUUGAGGCUGUGGUCCAUUGAUUAUGCUAUUUCUUCUGAUGACACUGAGUUGUUGAGAAGACAAUUCGAUCUUGCCAACAGGGAAGCAAUGGAUGAAUCUGCUGAGUGGAGAAUGAAAUAUGAUGAAGAAGCAGAGAGGGCUGCAAAGUGUGAUAAGGAACUGAUAGAGAUUAAGC